rnacentral:rRNA from 1 species
CCUACGGGUGGCUGCAGUCGAGGAUCUUCGGCAAUGGGCGCAAGCCUGACCGAGCGACGCCGCGUGCGGGAUGAAGGCCUUCGGGUUGUAAACCGCUGUCAGAGGGGAGGAAAUGCACGGGGGUUCUCCCUCGUGUUUGACCUAUCCUCAGAGGAAGGACGGGCUAAGUUCGUGCCAGCAGCCGCGGUAAUACGAACCGUCCAAACGUUAUUCGGAUUUACUGGGCUUGAAGGGUGCGUAGGCGGCCUGGGAAAGCCCUCGGCUUAACCGAGGAAUUGCGCCCAAAACUACUGGGCUUGAGGAAGAUAGAGGUGAGCGGAACUUAGGGUGGAGCGGUGAAAUGCGUUGAUAUCCUAAGGAACACCUGUGGCGAAAGCGGCUCACUGGGUCUUUUCUGACGCUGAGGCACGAAAGCCAGGGGAGCGAACGGGAUUAGAUACCCUGGUAGUC